rnacentral:rRNA from 1 species
GUUCCAGACUCCUACGGGAGGCAGCAGUAGGGAAUAUUGCUCAAUGGGGGAAACCCUGAAGCAGCAACGCCGCGUGAAGGAAGAAGGCUUUCGGGUUGUAAACUUCUUUUGACAGGGAAGAGCAGAAGACGGUACCUGUCGAAUAAGCCACGGCUAACUACGUGCCAGCAGCCGCGGUAAUACGUAGGGGGCAAGCGUUAUCCGGAUUUACUGGGUGUAAAGGGAGCGUAGACGGAAAGGCAAGUCAGAAGUGAAAACCCAAGGCUCAACCAUGGGACUGCUUUUGAAACUGUCAAACUAGAGUACGGGAGAGGUAAGAGGAAUUCCUAGUGUAGCGGUGAAAUGCGUAGAUAUUAGGAGGAACACCAGUGGCGAAGGCGUCUUACUGGACCGAAACUGACGUUGAGGCUCGAAAGCGUGGGGAGCAAACAGGAUUAGAUACCCCGGUAC